CGGAGAGUUUGAUUCUGGCUCAGAACGAACGCUGGCAGCGUGGAUGAGGCAUGCAAGUCGAACGGUCGUGUGCUGGUAGCAAUAUUGGUGCACGAUAGUGGCGGAAGGGCGAGUAAUGCGAGAGCAAGCUACCCCUCGAUUCGGAACAACGGCUGGAAACGGCCGCUAAUGCCGGAUACGAACGCGAAGCCGCAUGGUUUUGCGUUGAAAGGCCGGGACCCGCAAGGGCCGGUCGUCGAAGGAGGCGCUCCCGUGCCAUCGGCUAGUUGGCGAGGUAACGGCUCACCAAGGCGUACGGCUAGGUGGACUGAGAGGUUGGUCACCCGCACUGGGACUGAGACACUGCCCAGACUCCUACGGGAGGCUGCAGUCGAGGAUCAUUUGCAAUGGGCGAAAGCCUGACAAUGCGACGCUGCGUGCAGGAUGAAGGCCUUCGGGUUGUAAACUGCUGUUGGGAGGGAAAAGGACGCGGGGCCCAACAAGCCCUGCCGUUUGAUUGUACUUCCAGAGAAAGUCGCGGCUAACUCUGUGCCAGCAGCCGCGGUAAUACAGAGGCGACGAGCGUUGUUCGGAUUUACUGGGCGUAAAGCGUGCGCAGGCGGUGGACCAUGUCCGACGUGAAAUCCCGGGGCUCAGCUCCGGAAGUGCGUCGGAAACCGGUCCGCUGGAGACCGGGAAGGGAGUCUGGAACACACGGUGUAGCGGUGAAAUGCGUUGAUAUCGUGUGGAACACCGGAAGCGAAGGCGAGACUCUGGAACGGAUCUGACGCUCAUGCACGAAAGCGUGGGGAGCAAACAGGAUUAGAUACCCUGGUAGUCCACGCCGUAAACGGUGCGCAUUCGCCGUGGGGGGAAUUGACCCCCCCCGUGGCUUAGCCAACGCGAUAAAUGCGCCGCCUGGGGAGUACGGCCGCAAGGUUAAAACUCAAAGAAAUUGACGGGGGCCCGCACAAGCGGAGGAGCAUGUGGCUUAAUUCGAUGCAACGCGAAGAACCUUACCCAGGCUUGACAUGCAGCUGCAAGUCCUAUGAAAGUAGGACGCCUUCGAGGGUGCUGCACAGGUGCUGCAUGGCUGUCGUCAGUUCGUGCCGUGAGGUGUUUGGUUAAGUCCACCAACGAACGCAACCCCUGCGUCCAGUUGCCAUCGGUUCGGCCGGGCACUCUGGAGGGACUGCUCGUUCACACGAGAGGAAGGUGGGGAUGACGUCAAGUCAGUAUGGCCCUUACGCCUGGGGCCGCACACGUGCUACAAUGGCCGGUACAGAGGGACGCGAGACCGCGAGGUGGAGCAAACCCCAGAGAGCCGGCCCCAGUUCGGAUUGGAGUCUGCAACCCGACUCCAUGAAGUUGGAUUCGCUAGUAACGGCGCAUCAGCAGUUGGUGCCGUGAAUACGUUCCCGGGCCUUGUACACACCGCCCGUCACAUCAUGAAAGCCGUCUGCACCCGAAGCCGGUGGCCCAUCCGCAAGGGGGGAGCCGUCUAAGGUGUGGGUGGUGAUUGGGAUGAAGUCGUAACAAGGUAACCGUAGGGGAACCUGCGGUUGGAUCACCUCCUU
rnacentral:rRNA from 1 species